UUUGCAAGUGAUGACAACAUAGACAGGGACAUCUGCACUCUCAUUGAGUUUGAUGACAGUGUCUUGGGAAUAAUAUUUAUCUGAUGCAAU